GACGGAGGGUGCGAGCGUUGUUCGGAAUUACUGGGCGUAAAGAGUACGUAGGCGGUUUGUUAAGUCGAAUGUAAAAUCUCGAGGCUCAACCUCGAAACCGCAUUCGAAACUGGCAGACUAGAGGAUGAUAGAGGAAAGCGGAAUUCCCAGUGUAGCGGUGAAAUGCGUAGAUAUUGGGAGGAACAUCAGUGGCGAAAGCGGCUUUCUGGGUCAUUCCUGACGCUGAGGUACGAAAGCGUGGGGAGCAAACGGG
rnacentral:rRNA from 1 species